rnacentral:rRNA from 1 species
CGAGAAGCCAGCUGUCUCCAAGCUACAAAUAAAAAUUGGCCUCUAGGUGAAGAGACCUAGAUAUUAAUAAAGGACAAGAAGACCCCGUAGAGCUUUAGUCCUUAAAAUUAUAUUAAUUAAUCUGGCACAGAAUAAUUUUAUGAUAACCAUAGGUCUUUGCUGGGGCGGCAAAGGAAGAACUAUCUUCCAUUUUAACCUAAAAGCUUUAUCCGGUAUUUACACACCUUCUAUUCAAUGAUCCUACAUUAGAACAAAGAAAAUAGCUACCUCGGGGAUAACAGAUUAAUCCUUCUUGAGAGUUCGCAUUGACAGAAGGGAUUGACACCUCGAUGUUGGCUUAGGGGACCCUGUGGGUCAGCA